rnacentral:rRNA from 1 species
UACAGAGGGGGCAAGCGUUAUUCGGAAUUAUUGGGCGUAAAGGGCGCGUAGGCGGCUUGGCAAGUGGAUGGUGAAAUCCCUCGGCUUAACCGAGGAACUGCCAUCCAGACUGCUUUGCUUGAGGCCGGGAGAGGUAAGUGGAAUUCCCAGUGUAGCGGUGAAAUGCGUAGAUAUUGGGAGGAACACCAGUGGCGAAGGCGGGCUACUGGGCCGAUACUGACGCUGAUGCGCGAAAGCCAGGGGAGCGAACGGG